GGGAGCUUCGCCUAGUCUGGUCUAUGGCGCCGCACUGCUAAUGCGGUUUGGGGUCACCCCCCAUCCCGGGUUCAAAUCCCGGAGCCUCCG
rfam:Pseudonocardia sp. CNS-004 NODE_4_length_236906_cov_94.5201_ID_5, whole genome shotgun sequence.